GGGCCCCUAGCUAAGUGGUAUAGCAUCUGAUUCCAGUGCGUUGUUCGCCUCCAGAAGGUCGUCCGUUCGAUCCGGGCGGGGCUCA